rfam:Loxodonta africana unplaced genomic scaffold scaffold_14, whole genome shotgun sequence.
GGAUAGUCCAGUGGUUAAACACUUGGCUGCUAACCAAAAGGUUGGUGGUUCAAACUCACCAUCCG